rnacentral:tRNA from 1 species
UUAUGAUUUCUCUCCUUUAGAUUAAAAAUCUAAUAAUGCCACUUACACUAAAAUCAAG